AAUCCUUUCGGCCGAAUAUCUAAGGUUUCCAGAGUAAAGCUGAUCUGCUCUGGGUAAGUCGGGGCCUAAGCACAGGUCGCAAGACGUAAGCAAUGGAUAACAGGUUUAGAUUCCUGUACCACGCAUUAUCAGAACUGUAGGGACGCAUGUGGAAAGCACGGGCCGGGAAUGGAAAGACCGGUACAAGCGGGGUAGGUGUACAACAGGCAAAUCCGUUGUAUAAUCCGAAGACGUGAUGUGGAGCGAAAUAAAGUAGCAAAGCGUGUGAGCCAUGUGCCGAGAAAAGCUGCUAUUGUGUAAUGCGUGCCCGUACCGUAAACCGACACAGGUGGAUGAGGAGAGAAUCCUAAGGCCGACGGAAGAAGCAUUGUUAAGGAAUUCGGCAAAAUGACCCCGUAACUUCGGGAGAAGGGGUGCCUGCGAGAGCAGGCCGCAGAGAAUAGGCUCAAGCAACUGUUUAGCAAAAACACAGGUCUAUGCGAAACCGAAAGGUGAAGUAUAUGGGCUGACGCCUGCCCGGUGCUGGAAGGUUAAGAGGAGAGGUUAGCGUAAGCGAAGCUUUGAAUUUAAGCCCCAGUAAACGGCGGCCGUAACUAUAACGGUCCUAAGGUAGCGAAAUUCCUUGUCGGGUAAGUUCCGACCCGCACGAAAGGCGUAAUGAUUUGAGCACUGUCUCGACAAUGCAUCCGGUGAAAUUGAAGUACCAGUGAAGAUGCUGGUUACCCGCGCCAGGACGGAAAGACCCCAUGGAGCUUUACUCCAGUUUGAUACUGGGAUUCGGUACUGCAUGUACAGGAUAGGUGGGAGACGAAGAAGGAUGGACGCCAGUCUGUCCGGAGUCGCUGUUGGGAUACCACCCCUGUAGUACUGGGUUUCUAACCAGUUGCCAUAAACUGGCAAUGGGACAAUGUCAGGCGGGGAGUUUGACUGGGGCGGUCGCCUCCGAAAGGGUAUCGGAGGCGCUCAAAGGUUCCCUCAGAAUGGUUGGAAACCAUUUGAAGAGUGCAAAGGCAGAAGGGAGCUUGACUGCGACACCGACGGGUGGAGCAGGUACGAAAGUAGGACUUAGUGAUCCGGUGGUAUAAAGUGGGAUUGCCAUCGCUCAACGGAUAAAAGCUACCCUGGGGAUAACAGGCUUAUCACUCCCAAGAGUUCACAUCGACGGAGUGGUUUGGCACCUCGAUGUCGGCUCAUCGCAUCCUGGGGCUGUAGCAGGUCCCAAGGGUUGGGCUGUUCGCCCAUUAAAGCGGUACGCGAGCUGGGUUCAGAACGUCGUGAGACAGUUCGGUCCCUAUCCGGCGCGGGCGGAGGAUAUUUGAGAGGAGCUGUCCUUAGUACGAGAGGACCGGGAUGGACGGACCACUGGUGUAUCUGUUGUCGACCAACGGCAUGGCAGAGUAGCCAAGUCUGGAAGGGAUAAACGCUGAAGGCAUCUAAGCGUGAAGCCCCCCUCAAGAUGAGAUAUCCCUCCUUCGGGAGUAAGACCCCUUGAAGACUACAAGGUAGAUAGGGCAGAGGUGGAAGCAUGGCAACAUGUGGAGCUGACUGUUACUAAUAGGUCGAGGGCUUAAUCU
rnacentral:rRNA from 1 species